UACGGGGGGUGCAAGCGUUGUCCGGAAUCACUGGGCGUAAAGGGCGCGUAGGCGGCUCGGUAAGUAGGGGGUGAAAUCCUGCGGCUCAACCGCAGGGCUGCCUUCUAAACUGUCGAGCUCGAGCACGGUAGAGGCAGAUGGAAUUCCCGGUGUAGCGGUGGAAUGCGUAGAGAUCGGGAAGAACAUCAGUGGCGAAGGCGGUCUGCUGGGCCGUUGCUGACGCUGAGGCGCGACAGCGUGGGGAGCAAACAGG
rnacentral:rRNA from 1 species